CGCAUUAUCUAUUUGGUGAGGUAAUCGGCUCUCCACGGCGCCGAUGCGUAUCCGACCUGAGAGGGUGAUCGGCCACACUGGGACUGAGACACGGCCCCGACUCCUACGGGGGGCACCACUAGGGAAUCUUCCCCACUGGGCAAAAGUCUCACAGAGCAACGCCCCGUGAGUGAUGAAGGUUUUCGGAUCUUAAAACUCUGUUGUCUGGGAAAAACACGUGCGAUAGUAACUGCCGGCGCCUUGAUGAUACCUGCCCAGAAAACCACGGCUAAAUACGUGCCAUCAGCCGCGGCAGUACAUAUGUGGGGGGCGUUGUCCUGAAUUAUUAGGCGUAAAACGCGCGCAGGCGGUCUCUUAAUCUGAUGUGAAAACCCCCCGCUCAUCCGUGGAGGGUCAUUGUAAACUGGGGGACUUCAUUGCUGAAGAAGAAAGUGGAAUUCCUCGUGUAGCGGUGAAUGCUUAGAAAUGUGGAGGAACACCACUGGCGAAGGCGACUUUCUGGUCUGUAACUGACGCUGAUGCGCCAAACAUGGGGAGCAACAGAUUAUAUACCCUGGUAGUCCCCCCGUAACAAUGAUGCUACUGUUAAAGGUUCCCCCUUUAUGCUGCAGCAACCCUUAUUCACUCCCCCGGGGAGUAGGCCGCAGGCUGAUCUCAAAGAAUUAACGAGGC
rnacentral:rRNA from 1 species